GGCAACCGUGUUGAGGGUGUCCCUGUGUGUGUGUGUGUGUGUGUGUGUGUGCGCUCAGGGUGAUGCUGAUGCUGCACACACAAAC
rnacentral:miRNA from 1 species